rnacentral:rRNA from 1 species
GUUAUGGCGUCAGGAAGUGAACGGCUGGACGGCGUGCCUAACACAUAGCAAGUCGAACGAGCGAGAGAUGAAACCUAGUGAUUCUCGAGCGAGUGGCGGACGGGUGAGUAACGCGUGGGUAACCUGCCUUACAGAGGGGAUAACAGUUUGAAAAGACUGCUAAUACCGCAUAAGCACACAGUACCGCAUGGUACAGGGUGAAAAGAUUUAUCACUGUAAGAUGGACCCGCGUCUGAUUAGCCAGUUGGCAGGUAACGGCCUCCAAAGCGACGAUCAGUAGCCGACCUGAGAGGGUGAUCGGCCACAUUGGGACUGAGACACGGCCCAAACUCCUACGGGAGGCAGCAGUGGGGGAUAUUGCACAAUGGAGGAAACUCUGAUGCAGCCGACGCCGCGUGAGUGAAGAAGUAUUUCGGUAUGUAAAGCUCUAUCAGCAGGGAAGAUAAUGACAGUACCUGACCAAGAAGCCCCGGCUAACUACGUGCCAGCCGCCGC